rnacentral:rRNA from 1 species
GACGAACGCUGGCGGCGUGCUUAACACAUGCAAGUCGAGCGGUAAGGCCCUUUCGGGGGUACACGAGCGGCGAACGGGUGAGUAACACGUGGGUGACCUGCCCUUAGCUCUGGGAUAAGCCUGGGAAACUGGGUCUAAUACCGGAUAUGACUCCAUGACGCAUGUUGUGGGGUGGAAAGCCUUGUGCGGCUAGGGAUGGGCCCGCGGCCUAUCAGCUUGUUGGUGGGGUGAUGGCCACCAAGGCGACGACGGGUAGCCGGCCUGAGAGGGCGACCGGCCACACUGGGACUGAGACACGGCCCAGACUCCUACGGGAGGCAGCAGUGGGGAAUCUUGCGCAAUGGCGAAAGCCUGACGCAGCGACGCCGCGUGAGGGAUGACGGCCUC